CGUAGGUGGCAAGCGUUGUCCGGAUUUACUGGGCGUAAAGCGCGUGUAGGUGGUUUGGAAAGUCCGGGGUGAAAUCUUGCGGCUCAACUGCAAGAGGUCCUUGGAUACUUCCAGACUUGAGGGAGGCAGAGGAAGGUGGAAUUCCCGGUGUAGUGGUGAAAUGCGUAGAUAUCGGGAGGAACACCAGUGGCGAAGGCGGCCUUCUGGGCCUUUCCUGACGCUGAGGCGCGAAAGCGUGGGUAGCAAACCGGAUUAGAUACCCGGGUAGUCCACGCCCUAAACGAUGAGCACUAGGUGUGGGGGGUAUCGACCCCCUCCGUGCCGAAGCUAACGCGAUAAGUGCUCCGCCUGGGGACUACGGCCGCAAGGCUA
rnacentral:rRNA from 1 species